UCCUCAUGUAACAAGUACAAAAAACAAAUAUAUUGAUACAGUUGAGGAUUGUUAGAUAAAUGCCUGUCCUUUGUCUAAAACCAUCUAAAUCCCUCCAAGUAAAUUGCACAACUCUUCCGACAAAUUAUCCUAAACGGAGUUUACAGAAAUCNNNNNNNNNNNUAAACCUUAUCAUCCAAUGAUUAUGCAAAUAAGGUAACAAGAAGACGGUUAAACCCAGCGUAAUUAAGCAGGGAUCUAUAAGCUCCUAACAUUAAGCCAGAUAUUCUCAGAAAAGAAUUAAUAAAAUAUUAGCUAAUGCUUCAUUCCACCUGCAGCAACUUUAUGCAUUUACAGAUUCAUCGCUAUCUUUGCCAAGGCUUGAGAUCUUCAGAAAAAGUUGGCUGACAAGGCUAGAACCGUCAGCUUAGUAGUCUUCGGUUAACAAAGGUCUGAAGUCCCUAGACGCAGAAUUGUAGGAUGCAAACAUUCAUGGCCUUCAAGAACCUGCAUGACCCUGCGAUGUCCCUCCCAGUCCCACCUUCAUUUCAGUUUGAACUCUUCGGUAGAACAACACAUAAGCAG
rnacentral:misc_RNA from 1 species